rnacentral:rRNA from 1 species
GACGAACGCUGGCGGCGCGCCUAACACAUGCAAGUCGAGCGAAGCACCUUACUUGAUUUCUUCGGGAUGAAAGUAUUGUGACUGAGCGGGCGACGGGUGAAGGUAACGCGUGGAUAACCUGCCUCAUACAGGGGGAUAACAGUUAGAAAUGACUGCUAAUACCGCAUAAGACCACAGCACCGCAUGGUGCAGGGGUAAAAACUCCGGUGGUAUGAGAUGGAUCCGCGUCUGAUUAGCUAGUUGGUAAGGUAACGGCUUACCAAGGCAACGAUCAGUAGCCGACCUGAGAGGGUGACCGGCCACACUGGAACUGAGAUACGGCCCAG